GUGCUCAUGUUGGCAGCACACAGACUAAGAUUAGAACAAUAAAAAGAUUAGCAAGGCCCCUGCGCAAGGGUAACAUGCAAAUGUGUGAAGCGUUCCAUAUUUUU
ensembl:snRNA U6 U6 spliceosomal RNA